CCUGGGGAGAAGGAACAUGAAAAGAGAAAGAGAUAUUACGGACGAUACACACGAGAUGCAUGAAAAGCUCGUCCCCAUUCGAUAAGAAUGACAGCGUUCCAUUGGGUGAGUGACGUCAUCUAAGGAAAUGCUGGAUAUUAAAUCAGUCCGAGGCAACAUUUAGUUUACAGACUGUUGAUACUGAAUCUCAAGUCACCAUAUCUACCCAAAUGUUAUGCCUUCCAAGAAUUCUCCACAUAUACACAACCAUUGACCCCCAGCCUUGAGGUGCUAAAUCAUGCUGCGUUCUGCUACUAAAGAGAGGGGGAGAGAAAGUUGGAACAGGGCCAGAGAGAGAGCGAGAGGCCACAGGGAGGAGGACGACCUUCUACCGACAGGAAAUAGGAAGCGCCCCACUCUUCCUGUGGUACAUGGACUUCGUAGAAACACCCCACAUACGAAUUGCAUAGAACACUAAAUAACCAACUGAUUACCGCAAAACUGCCAAAUUGGAGGAGGCAAGUGGAAGGGAGCGAAGCUGCCUAUGACAUCAUUUUAGAGGAUUUGGCAGUACGUCCAACCGGCCUCACAACCGCAGACCACGUGUAACCACGCCAGCCCAGGACCUCCACAUCCAGCUUCUUCACCUGCAGGAUCGUCCAAUGGGUGCUGAGGAGUAUUUCUGUCUGUAAUAAAGCCCUUUUGUUUGAAAAUACUCAUUCUGAUUGGCUGGGCCUGGCUCCCCAGUGGGUGAUCAAAAUGGCCACCUGACUAUUUACAAGUCGAUCAACCC